CAAUAGCGUAUAUUAAAGUUGUUGCAGUUAAAAAGCUCGUAGUUGGAUUUCUGGUGGGAGCGAUCGGUCUGGCGCUUAGCGCGAGUACUUGCAUCGUCUCCGGCCAUCCUUGGGGAGAGUCUGUCUGGCAUUAAGUUGUCGGGCAGAGGAUCCUCAUCGUUUACUGUGAAAAAAUUAGAGUGUUCAAAGCAGGCUUAUGCCGUUGAAUAUAUUAGCAUGGAAUAAUAAGAUAGGACUUUGGUACUAUUUUGUUGGUUUGCGCACCAAAGUAAUGAUUAAUAGGGACAGUUGGGGGUAUUCGUAUUCCGUAGUCAGAGGUGAAAUUCUUGGAUUUACGGAAGACGAACUACUGCGAAAGCAUUUACCAAGGAUGUUUUCAUUAA
rnacentral:rRNA from 1 species